rnacentral:rRNA from 1 species
AACGAACGCUGGCGGCAGGCCUAACACAUGCAAGUCGAGCGAGCAUUUCGGUGCUAGCGGCGGACGGGUGAGUAACGCGUGGGAACGUGCCCUUUUCUGCGGAAUAGUCCUGGGAAACUGGGGGUAAUACCGCAUACGCCCUUUUGGGGAAAGAUUUAUCGGAGAAGGAUCGGCCCGCGUUGGAUUAGGUAGUUGGUGGGGUAAUGGCCCACCAAGCCGACGAUCCAUAGCUGGUUUGAGAGGAUGAUCAGCCACACUGGGACUGAGACACGGCCCAGACUCCUACGGGAGGCAGCAGUGGGGAAUCUUAGACAAUGGGGGCAACCCUGAUCUAGCCAUGCCGCGUGAGUGAUGAAGGCCUUAGAGUUGUAAAGCUCUUUCAGCUGGGAAGAUAAUGACGGUACCAGCAGAAGAAGCCCCGGCUAACUCUGUG